AUUGAACGCUGGCGGCAGGCCUAACACAUGCAAGUCGAGCGGAUGAAGGGAGCUUGCUCCUGGAUUCAGCGGCGGACGGGUGAGUAAUGCCUAGGAAUCUGCCUGGUAGUGGGGGAUAACGUCCGGAAACGGGCGCUAAUACCGCAUACGUCCUGAGGGAGAAAGUGGGGGAUCUUCGGACCUCACGCUAUCAGAUGAGCCUAGGUCGGAUUAGCUAGUUGGUGGGGUAAAGGCCUACCAAGGCGACGAUCCGUAACUGGUCUGAGAGGAUGAUCAGUCACGCUGGAACUGAGACACGGUCCAGAAUCCUACGGGAGGCAGCAGUGGGGAAUAUUGGACAAUGGGCGAAAGCCUGAUCCAGCCAUGCCGCGUGUGUGAAGAAGGUCUUCGGAUUGUAAAGCACUUUAAGUUGGGAGGAAGGGCAGUAAGUUAAUACCUUGCUGUUUUGACGUUACCAACAGAAUAAGCACCGGCUAACUUCGUG
rnacentral:rRNA from 1 species